rnacentral:lncRNA from 1 species
UCGGCUCCAUUGGUGGCCACUAAACCCCCGGGGGAAUUGUUGGUAUUGAGUCGCGCGGCGAGUUUUAAAACGCAGGCUGAGGUAAUCGAAUAAAUGAACGAGUGCGGGAACGAGCUUUGUCACUCGAAAGGAAGCGACGAUGUAACGCCCUUGUCCGAGCAGACGGACAUUCACCCUCACACCCCCACAACAGCAACGGGCGAUCUUCCUCGGGACUGGGGGUUGCGACCAACCACUGACGAUUGCAGCAGAUACCAGGGAUAGACCCCCCUCCCCUUUCCCCGCGACGGGGGAAAAGGGGGAAAUCUCGCGACACCUCAAAACACACACAUUCCGUCACGGGGCGCACGAGGUCGCGGGAGAGCCGCCGGAUCUUCUCCGGUCCGCUAGCUAGCCAGGUAGGUCGGUAGGUAGGUACGUCAGAAGCACCGUCAUCCGGUCACCGCCACCAACUUCACGAGCAUCAAGAGAUAUGCCGUAUUUUCCGUACGUCAGCAGGGAUUCAGAUCCCAAUAGCCCUAUACUGCCUGUCUUCGCAAAAACACACCCCGCUAGCUUUCCGAAAACCCACAUUAAGCCGCCGCCGCAGCAGCAGCAGCAGCAGCAGCCACGACGCCGUCGUUCUUUACCCUGCGCGCCCUUGCCUCACGCGAGGGCGACCUGGGACUGCGGGCACGGGCGCUCCGACUAGUCUGUCCGUAUGUCUGUCUAGCUACAGCCCGGCUCAUCCUCGUACAGGCCGUUCUCGUCACCCUGCGCGGCCCCCACACCCCGAACAGCUGGGCCCCCCGCCCUCCUGCCGCCUCUUCUCCUUUCCCCCCGCUGCGGCAGUGCUUCCACCUCCUCCCCCACUUCCUCUUGGCCGCCGUCCUGCUCCGAGCCCCCUUUCCCAUCCCCCCUCUUCUCCAUGACCUCGUCCAUGUCAUCGUCGUCAACUACCAGCUCCCGACCCCGGACAGUGANNN